UACGUAGGGUGCGAGCGUUGUCCGGAAUUAUUGGGCGUAAAGAGCUCGUAGGUGGCCUGUCGCGUCGGCUGUGAAAACUCGGGGCUCAACUCCGAGCUUGCAGUCGAUACGGGCAGGCUAGAGUUCGGCAGGGGAGACUGGAAUUCCUGGUGUAGCGGUGAAAUGCGCAGAUAUCAGGAGGAACACCGGUGGCGAAGGCGGGUCUCUGGGCCGAUACUGACGCUGAGGCACGAAAGCGUGGGGAGCAAACAGG
rnacentral:rRNA from 1 species